AUAUUUUAUCUUAUAUUUAAAUAUCUAGGUGGCAUUUGAGAGGUUCUAUGAAGUGAAGCUUGGACAUUAGUAUUCAUUCAAGCAAAGUUGGGGAUGUACUCAAUAGAUUAGAGGACAUCACUAUGGUUCCGGCCAUUGAGAUUCUAGAAGGCCAUUGAAGAAGACUUGUAUUCUCAUUCUCCAAGUUCGAUAGGUCCUCACUUUCCGAGGAUGAUGUCAAUAUCUAGCUAUUGAUGUUGUUUAGUCUUAUAGACAAUUUAGUUCAUUCUCUUUCAUUCGAAGACAAUUGUUGUAUAAGACUAUAUGUGACUUUUGUUGUAAUAAAGUAUGGGCUAUGCCCAAAUGUUGUACGCAUUCUAGAUGGUUUAAUAUGAGACUUAUCUUAGACUUCCUAUGA